rnacentral:rRNA from 1 species
GGAGGGUGCAAGCGUUGUUCGGAAUUAUUGGGCGUAAAGAGCGUGUAGGCGGUUCGGUAAGUCAGAUGUGAAAGCCCUGGGCUCAACCCAGGAAGUGCAUUUGAAACUACCAGACUUGAGUACGGGAGAGGAGGGGGGAAUUCCCGGUGUAGAGGUGAAAUUCGUAGAUAUCGGGAGGAAUACCAGUGGCGAAGGCGCCCUCUGGACCGGAUACUGACGCUGAGACGCGAAAGACGUGGGGAGGCAAACAGGAUUAGAUACCUGGUAGUCCACGCCGUAAACGAAUGAGCACUAGGUGUAGCGGGUAUUGACCCCCUGCUGUGCUGUAGCUAACGCAUUAAGUGCUCCGCCUGGGGACUACGGUCGCAAGACUA